rnacentral:lncRNA from 1 species
UGCUUAAGUUUUCUGAAUGAGGCAACAUAGUGGAAUCUCAACAACUUGAUGGGUCCUUUUGUUCUUCUCCUGCAGCAGCAGCAGCAAAGUCUGCCAUGGUAGCUGAGAGAGUUUUGGGGGAGGCAUGACAGCAAAGCAAGGAAGAGCUUUCCUUUACUCUUUUGGUACCCCAGUCUCUCUGCUUUUUCCCACCUCAGACUUGUCUUUGUUGAAUUUUGCAGGAUUGGGUUGGAAGUACAUAUACACACUAACACACACACAUACACACAUAUUUAUAUAUCAAGUUUUCUUCCUUUUUUAGAUUUUUCUCGCCUCUCUUUUUUCAUGCUGCACAUGAAUUGGGGUUCCUUGGAAGAAACCCACUUUUGCCUAGAAGCUCCUGCUGAUGCUCAGGCUUUAACAUUUACUAUUGCACUUCCCCCAGGGCACAAGCUCAUGGGCAAAGCACUGGUAGCCAGUUUCUUGAAUUGGGCACUUUCAGAGUAAAAAAACAAUGCCUGACCAGUUAGAUAUUCAUUCAUGUAAACAAUUGUUUAUACACACACACAUGUACAUAUAUGCCAACAUGGCUCAUAGCUUUAGUAUGUGACUUUGUCUUUGAAGGGGGCAAAGUUGUAAUUUGAUAGCACAACAGUGGGUACUGUCCAUCCCAAGGGAAUUUUUUUUGUGAUCAGUGGCUCGGAUGUUGAGAGAGGCUGGACAUGUGACAAGUUCUCAAACAAUUCCCAGAUUCAUGCUCAUGUCAUGUGACAAGAGGGGGGCAGGCAGGCAACAAAAAAUAAAAAGAACUAAUAAGAACAAAGAAAAUCAACAACCCCAGCCAACUGAAGAAAACAUUAAACAAAAAACAAAAAAAACGCACCCGUAUUUUCAAAAGUCAAGUUCGUUAAGUUUGUUUUUCAGGUAUGAGAAUCAUCCAUUUGAUUUGUGGUGGCGGUGGGUCCCUACAUAUAACAGAAAACACACACACACAUAAUCGGGCUCCCAUGUUCUUUAACUACAUUAAUCUUUGCCCAAUGGCCACAUGCUUUGGAAUUCCUUUGAAAAGUUUCAAAGAAAUUGUACGAGAAGUUGGGAGACAAAUAUAUUGUCAAAGCCUUUUCCUUCUCCUCUUCCCCCAUUUCAUUUCCCUUGCCUUCUCUCUUGGAUUCCUUUCCUUCUCACACUCUCGUUCACAUACCCAAUUCAUUGUUUGUGUUGGUGAGCAAUUUUGAGGGGAGAAGAGAUUCCCAAGUGAUGAGUCUCAUCAAUGAUAGAAGCCUGACAGUUGUAGCCUGAUGUUUGUCACACUCUUCAAUAUCAUUCUUCUUGUAUUGUUUCCAUCCCUUGCACUAAGUGUGAAGACUCUUUCAAACUGACUCAGUGAUGAGCCCCUUAGUGAACAAGAGAGGCAUCUUAACCACUUUUCCAUGGCCCUUUCUCAGUGUUGUUAGGGUUUUGAUCAAUCUCGGAAUCAAAGCUGUGGUGGUGGUGGCAAUGGUGAUCCUCUUCCCAAGCCCAAUGACUAAAUUCUGGUGCCCAUUUUGCACAGUUUGAUGCAUAAUGAGAAUGGGGGCAAACUUUGUGCUGAAAAAUGUAGUAGUAUGAACCCAAUCUCUUGUAACCUGACUGCAGUAGUGAUAAAAUUGGAACAACCAAAUGCUAAAUCAUCAAACAUAAAACAAAACACCCUGUAUGUAUGUAUUUACGUAGGAAUACUUUUUGGUGUGUUUCUCUAUUCUGUAUUCUUUCUUUCUUUCUUUCUUUUUAUGAAGGAUGUACAAGCUAGGAAACAUUGUGCAUGUCUAAAGAUUUACCACUGGGAAAUUGAAAUAAAAUAAAAUAAAAUAAAAUUUGGUCAAUCGCGUUGAGACACGUGUCUCUAUGACACAAACUUCUAAACCCCCUCAA